rnacentral:rRNA from 1 species
CAGCCGUAAACUAUGCGCGUUAGGUGUACUGGUGACCACGAGUCACCGGGGUGCCGAAGGGAAACCGUGAAACGUGCCGCCUGGGAAGUACGGUCGCAAGGCUGAAACCUAAAGGAAUUGGUGGGGGAGCACCACAACGGGUGGAGCCUGCGGUUUAAUUGGACUCAACGCCGGAAAUCUCACCGGAUAGGACAGACAUAUGAUAGUCGGGCUGAAGACUCUACUUGAUGAUCUGAGAGGAGGUGCAUGGCGUAGUCGUGU